GUAGAGAUGCCGACGGGUCGGAACUCUUUGCCGAGGUGGCUGACAAGGUCGAAAGCCUCAGGGGUUCCGCACGAUACAUUAUGCAACUUCAGAGGUCUAAAACAGGAACCCGUACUCCCGUCGAAUGGACACAUUGAAUGCCGGCAUACUGCGGGUGUUGGACGCCGAGCGGCUCACGCCGACGUCUCCCAAGGAUUGAUCACGGAGGCGUCUGUGUCUUCGAAAUCCUUGACGUUGCGUGUGACAAGGAUGAGAUCGUGAACGAUCGCGGUCGCGGCGAUCAACCCGUCGAUAUCGCCGCGGGGGCGUAUUGCCGCGAUGCGGCCCCAUUCGACUGCGAUUUGGUCGGUUAUCGGCAAAAUGCGAUCGCCAUGGUCGUGGCGCAGCUU
rnacentral:sRNA from 1 species